UACGGAGGGUGCAAGCGUUAUCCGGAUUCACUGGGUUUAAAGGGUGCGUAGGCGGGCAGGUAAGUCCGUGGUGAAAUCUCUGAGCUUAACUCAGAAACUGCCAUGGAUACUAUUUGUCUUGAAUAUUGUGGAGGUAAGCGGAAUAUGUCAUGUAGCGGUGAAAUGCGUAGAUAUCGGGAGGAACACCAGGGGCGAAGGCGGCAUCCUGGCUCUGUACUGACGCUGAGGCGCGAGAGCGUGGGGAGCAAACCGG
rnacentral:rRNA from 1 species